rnacentral:rRNA from 1 species
UACGGAGGGAGCUAGCGUUGUUCGGAUAUACUGGGCGUAAAGCGCACGUAGGCGGCGCAGCAAGUCAGGGGGUGAAAUCCCGGAGCUCAACUCCGGAACUGCCCUUGAAACUGCAGUGCUAGAAUCCUGGAGAGGAGAGUGGAAUUCCUGGUGUAGCGGUGAAAUGCGCAGAUAUCAGGAGGAACACCAAUAGCGAAGGCAGCUCGCUGGGACGGUAUUGACGCUAAGGCGCGAAAGCGUGGGGAGCAAACAGG